CUAGCUAGAGAGGAAUCACCCCUCCUUAAUGG
rnacentral:tRNA from 2 species